GACGAACGCUGGCGGCGUGCCUAAUACAUGCAAGUCGAGCGAGCUUGCCUAGAAGAUUUUGAUGCUUGCAUCAAAUGAAACUAGAUACAAGCUAGCGGCGGACGGGUGAGUAACACGUGGGUAACCUGCCCAAGAGACUGGGAUAACACCUGGAAACAGAUGCUAAUACCGGAUAACAACAAUAGACGUAUGUCUAGAGUUUGAAAGAUGGGUUUUCUAUCACUCUUGGAUGGACCUGCGGUGCAUUAGCUAGUUGGUAAGGUAACGGCUUACCAAGGCAAUGAUGCAUAGCCGAGUUGAGAGACUGAUCGGCCACAUUGGGACUGAGACACGGCCCAAACUCCUACGGGAGGCAGCAGUAGGGAAUCUUCCACAAUGGACGAAAGUCUGAUGGAGCAACGCCGCGUGAGUGAAGAAGGGUUUCGGCUCGUAAAGCUCUGUUGAUGGUGAAGAAAGGUAGAGGUAGUAACUGGCCUUUAUUUGACGGUAAUCAUUUAGAAAGUCACGGCUAACUACGUGCCAGCAGCCGCCGUAA
rnacentral:rRNA from 1 species